GAUGAAGAACGUAGCGAAAUGCGAUAAGUAAUGUGAAUUGCAGAAUUCAGUGAAUCAUCGAAUCUUUGAACGCACAUUGCGCUCUCUGGUAUUCCGGGGGGCAUGCCUGUUCGAGCGUCAUUACAACCCUCAAGCUUUGCUUGGUAUUGGACAUUGCCAGUUUCUGGCAGGUCUUAAAAUCAGUGGCGGUGCCAUUUGGCUUCAAGCGUAGUAAUUCUUCUCGCUUUGGAGAUCCAGGUGGUUACUUGCCAAUAACCCCCAAUUUUUUCAGGUUGACCUCGGAUCAGGUAGGGAUACCCGCUGAACUUAAGCAUAUCAAUAAGCGGAGGA
rnacentral:misc_RNA from 1 species